UUUAAGAAAAAAUUUAGAGAGACUAAAACAAAAAGUUGACAUAGUUAUAGAGACAAAAAUAUAUUUAACCCUUAAAAUAAGUUUAUUUAAAUCUUAUUUUUAAAAAUAUUUAGUCAUAUUCUAUGCAAAAGUUGAUAUCUUUUUUGGCUUAAUACAUUAUUUGGUCCCUUAACUUAUUUUUGGUUUUCAAUUUGGUUGCCUAACUAUAAAGUAUCUCAAUUUGGU
rnacentral:lncRNA from 1 species